CGGAGAAGUCUCUUCCCCCGGAGGAGCUAGACAAGUGGCUGGGGAGAGGAAAGUCUGGGCCUCCCUUCUUAAGUUGCUACCCCCGCGAUCCAACCCCGGAUAAAGUGGAA